UUACCCACUGUAUGUUUAUUUACCAUUGCAUUGGGUUACCCCCUACCUCCAUCAUGCCUCUACCCACGCAGUACUAUUUAUUAUCAUUUGUUUUGGCAAUCCAUCCCCAUUUAUCGAAGAUCCUCGCAUAUUCCCCCCAGUCCACCGCACAGGGUAUAUUGCUCCGGCGGGUUGGUGCCACGCAUGACCACCAUAUAUGGCGGAAUGAUUCUCCUGAAGAAGUGGUCAAACCACGAAACUAGUCGAGACUCAGAUCAUUCCAUAUGGUUGUAAAUUACAGAAAUUGCCUCGAGUUAUCUUAGGCCUCUGUUUUUUCUAUUUUAAUCAUGUAUUUAUUGUACAAUCCUUUAUGUAAUAAAUUUCUUUUUAAAUUAUAUGUAUGCUAUUUUUACUGUACCAAGACAGUCCUUAAAUUUUAGGGGGAGGGAACAUUAUUGGGCCAACUUCAGCUAUUGUCCCUCUUUCCCUCUUGCCCCGCCCUUCUCUGUUGUUAUAUACUUUCCCGGAUGAUGGUACACCCCUAUUGAUUACUACCCUAUGUAUAGGAGGCUAUACUCAAAAUUCCUGCAUAUUCAUUGGGUGGAUAACACACCCGUUUCUCCUUUCUCUCCGAGUGCCUCUAACUUGUAAUUUUAUUACCCAACUAUAUAUCUAUAUCGAUUCCCUUGGAGAUUGUCCAUCAGGCUAGAUGACACAUGGACACACUUGGCAUCUAGUAUGUAGGACCAUUAACUUUCCUUGCAUUUAGAUUUCC